UUGGAUUUUUGGGAAUUUCGGGUCGAUUUUGGGGGAAUUUCGGGUGGAUUUUGGGGAAUUUUGGGUGGAUUUUGGGACUUUCGGGUGGAUUUUGGGAAUUUUGGGUGGAUUUUUGGGGAAUUUCGGGUGGAUUUUGGGGAAUUUCGGGUGGAUUUUGGGAAUUUCGGGUGGAUUUUGGGGAAUUUCGUGUGGAUUUUGGGAAUUUCGGGUGGAUUUUGGGGAAUUUCAGGUGAAUUUUGGGAAUUUCGGGUGCAGUUUGGGGAAUUUUGGGUGGAUUUUGGGGAAUUUCAGGUGAAUUUUGGGAAUUUCGGGUGCAGUUUGGGGAAUUUUGGGUGGAUUUUGGGAAUUUCAGGUGGAUUUUGGGGAAUUUUGGGUGGAUUUUGGGGAAUUUCGGGUGGAUUUUGGGAAUUUCGGGUGGAUUUUGGGAAUUUCGGGUGGAUUUUGGGGAAUUUUGGGAAUUUCGGGUGGAUUUUGGGGAAUUUUGGGUGGAUUUUUGGGAUUUCGGGUGGAUUUUGGGGAAUUUUGGGUGGAUUUUGGGGAAUUUCCUGUGGUUUUUGGGGAAUUUCAGGUGGAUUUUUGGGAAUUUCGGGUGGAUUUUGGGAAUUUCGGGUGGAUUUUGGGGUGAAUUUGGGGUGUUUUGGGUCCCAGGUCCGAAAUUUGGCCGCGGUUUUGCUCCGGAGGCUCCUCCGGAAACUCCCCCAGGAAUUGAUUGACAGGCUCCCCCAUCUCGUGGUCGAGGCCCUGGAGCGGGAAACGGACUCGUCCAGCAGAGGGUCCCUGGCUCAGCUUGGGGCGAGGCUGCUGCUCCUGGGGGGUCCCCAAAUGUGGGAACCGAUGGAAAAAUGGAUCCAGGAAGCGGCAAAAGAUCCCAAAAAAACGGAGGCGGCUCUGCGCUUCCUGGGCGUGGCGCUGGGCGUGGCCGGCCCCGCCCUUUCCGGCCGAGGCUCCNNNNNNNNNNNNNNNNNNNNGCCCUGAUCCCAAAAUCGCCUCAAAAAUCCCCAAAAAAUUCCCCAAAAACUUUUAAAAAAUCCCAAAAAAUCCCAAAAAAAUUCCUAAAAAAAUCCCAAAAAAUCCAAAAAAAUUCACAAAAAAUUCCCAAAAAAAAUCCCAAAAAAUUCCUAAAAAUUUUUAAAAAAUCCCCAAAUAAUUCCUAAAAAAAAUCUCCAAAUAAUUCCUGAAAAAUCCCAAAAAAUCCCAAAAAAUUCCUAAAAAAUUCCUAAAAAAUCCUUAAAAACUCAAAAAAAAUCCUAAAAAAAAUCACAAAAAAAUUUCCAAAAAAUCCAAAAAAAAUUCCUAAAAAGUCUCAGAAAAAAUCCAAAAAAUUCCUUAAAAAAAAUCACAAAAAAAAUCCAAAAAAUUCCCCCAAAAAUCCCCAAAAAUUCCUAAAAAAAUCCCGAAAAACUCAAAAAAAAUCCGAAAAAAUCCCGAAAAAAUCCCAAAAAAUUCACAAAAAAUUUACAAAAAAAUCCCAAAAAAUUCCUAAAAAAUCCUUAAAAAGUCACCAAAAAAACCCCCAAAAAUUCCUUAAAAAAUCCCCCAAAACUCAAAAAAAAUCCUAAAAAAUCACAAAAAAAAUCCAAAAAAUUCCUAAAAAAUCUCAGAAAAAAUCCAAAAAAUUCCCCAGAAAAUCCCCCCAAAAUUCCUAAAAAAAUCCCGAAAAACUCAAAAAAAAUCCUAAAAAAAUCCAAAAAAAAUCCCAAAAAAUCUCCGAAAAUCCCCAAAAAUCCCCCAAAAAUUCCCAAAAUUCCCAAAAAAAUUCCCAAAAUUCCCUCAAAUCCCAAAAACCCCCAAAUUCCCUCCCAAAUAAUUCCCAUUUUCCCUCCUGCAGGCGGCUCUGCGCUUCCUGGGCGUGGCCCUGGGCGUGGCCGGCCCCGCCCUUUCCGGCCGAGGCUCCGCCCUUUCCGGCCGAGGCUCCGCCCUUUCCGGGCUGUGCCGGGCGGGGCUCGGAGCCCGCGACGAUCCCGGGAUUCUCGGA
ensembl:lncRNA